CCGGUGGACAAACCGGAGGAAGGUGGGGAUGACGUCAAGUCAUCAUGGCCCUUACGGCCUGGGCUACACACGUGCUACAAUGGUCGGUACAAAGGGUUGCCAAGCCGCGAGGUGGAGCUAAUCCCAUAAAACCGAUCGUAGUCCGGAUCGCAGUCUGCAACUCGACUGCGUGAAGUCGGAAUCGCUAGUAAUCGUGAAUCAGAAUGUCACGGUGAAUACGUUCCCGGGCCUU
rnacentral:rRNA from 1 species